AAUGCCUCGCCGAGUGCAUUUACGUAAAUCAAAUCGUUUAAAUUUAUUUUUGGCAACAGUUCUCAAGACUAACAUUGAACGAGCCAAAGCCAAUAAUAAUAAUAACCUCUGCUCAUGCUAAUUGUGCACCUUUACUGCUAACUAACUGGCUAUUAUUGGAGGACGGAACGGAUAUGGUCAUUUAUGGUCUAGGACAAUAAUGGUCUACGCCAGCACAAAACAUUACACACAAUCCACUUUACGAGUUCAUAUUGACAAAGUUCUUAAUUGGUAUGAAACCAAUUUUUUGAUCUAUUUAGCUUUAUUUUUAUGAUUUAUGAUCUGUCGACAUAAAUCAUAAAUGUUUCAAAAAUGAGGACCACAAUUCAAGAAUACCUCAGUGUAUAGGCAUGAUUUAACCAUGCAAUUAAUAACUUGAGUAACUCAAUUAACAAGUCUGGAAAUUAUUUGCUCAACUGUUGGUCAACUAAACCAGAUUUGCGGAUGUUUACCAAGGGUGCGUCAUCCAUUGAUAAAUAGAUUCCACUACAUAUUGGAACUAGUACUAGUUUAAAUACUGGGAAUUGUGUGGAUUUUUAAAAUGUGGUGUUCAAUUCCAGCAAUAAAUUUGGUACAUCCGUCCAUCAACCACAGACCCUCGUAAGUCAUUAGAGACGGGGCGACGGGCUAUCAAAAUAGGAAGUCUUCCAUUGUUUGUUAAUAUGUCGUAAUGUCGUUCAAUGAGCAGAGUCAAACACGACAAAUCGCCCCACUCAACUGUUAUCGAGCACUACAAACACAACAGUUUUUUGUCGAUUUUUUAAAUGUUUGUCUCACGGAAAGAUACAUUAAGCUUAAGAGUGAGUUGCGCCUCUGCGACGCCAGUGAUUCCAUCCAGUUUAUCAAAUAAUUUAUUUGUGGAUAGUAUGAAAUGAACUGAAUGACAUACUUUUUAUUUCCAGAUGUACAAACAAAUAUGUCCAAACCCAACAAAGUGGUGCUAAACUGCAUAGAUGAUCGUAGCCAAAACUUGAUGAUAUGUACCGAUGAGAUUAUGACCUGUUUCGUUGUAAUUAAACCAGAUAGGCUGGUCAGUCGGGACAUUUUUAACAGAUAACAUUCGUAGAAAAAAAAGCAACAACACAAGAACUAUUAAUUUCGUCACUGGAGCAAUAAAAACGCGCUAAAUAGUUUAAUGUACAUCCAUAUUGACUAUACUUCUCUGAGUAAAUUAAAUUUCGCAAGCUGUGGAAUUAGAGACUAUGGUUGAUCUGUUGUAAACUGUGCGAUGAAGUAACACAAUAAAUCUCGUGUGCUAAAAACUC